rnacentral:lncRNA from 1 species
CAUGGAGGAGGAAAAGAAAGUAGAGAAGAAGAGAUGAUUUACUGUUUAGAUUAGGAUUAAAGUAGGUGAACCAUUAAUUAGACGUUAUGUUUGUAGGAAAGGUGAAGGGUUGGAUUAAGGUGAGUGGACUAUUAAUUAAACGUUAUGUUUGUAGGAAAGGCGAAGGGUUGGAUUAAGGUGAGUGGGCUAUUAAUUAAAUGUUAUAGGUGGAGGGAAGGAUUAGAUAUUAUAGGUGGAGGGAAGACGACGUUAUGUGUAUAGAAAAGGCGAAGGGUUAGGUUAAGCUUA